rnacentral:rRNA from 1 species
UACGGAGGGAGCUAGCGUUGUUCGGAAUUACUGGGCGUAAAGCGCGCGUAGGCGGCUUUGUAAGUUAGAGGUGAAAGCCCGAAGCUCAACUCCGGAACUGCCUUUAAAACUGCAUCGCUUGAAUCCAGGAGAGGUGAGUGGAAUUCCGAGUGUAGAGGUGAAAUUCGUAGAUAUUCGGAAGAACACCAGUGGCGAAGGCGGCUCACUGGACUGGUAUUGACGCUGAGGUGCGAAAGCGUGGGGAGCAAACAGG